rnacentral:RNase_P_RNA from 1 species
GAAGUUGGUCGGAUAGUCGCCGAAUGUAGAUACGUUGGGAGGAAAGUCCGGGCUCCACAGAGUAAAGUGCUAGUUAACUGCUAGGCGCAGUGAUGCGACGGAAAGUGCAGCAGAAAAAAUACCGCCUAUCUGAUAGGUAAGGGUGAAAUGGUGUGGUAAGAGCGCACCGCGAUCUUAGUGAUAAGUUCGGCAAGGCAAACCCCACUUGGAGCAAACUCAAAUAGGAAGGCAUUGGCGUUGCUCGCGCUGUCUUC